GAUGAACGCUGGCGGCGUGCCUAAUACAUGCAAGUCGAGCGAAUGGAUUAAGAGCUUGCUCUUAUGAAGUUAGCGGCGGACGGGUGAGUAACACGUGGGUAACCUGCCCAUAAGACUGGGGUAACUCCGGGAAACCGGGGCUAAUACCGGAUAACAUUUUGAACCGCAUGGUUCGAAAUUGAAAGGCGGCUUCGGCUGUCACUUAUGGAUGGACCCGCGUCGCAUUAGCUAGUUGGUGAGGUAACGGCUCACCAAGGCAACGAUGCGUAGCCGACCUGGGAGGGUGAUCGGCCACACUGGAGCUGAGACACGGCCCAGACUCCUACGGGAGGCAGCAGUAGGGAAUCUUCCGAAAUGGACGAAAGUCUGACGGAGCAACGCCGCGUGAGUGAUGAAGGCUUUCGGGUCGUAAAACUCUGUUGUUAGGGAAGAACAAGUGCUAGUUGAAUAAGCUGGCACCUUGACGGUACCUAACCAGAAAGCCACGGCUAACUACGUGCCAGCAGCCGCCGUAA
rnacentral:rRNA from 1 species